rnacentral:rRNA from 1 species
AUACGGAAGGUGCAAGCGUUAAUCGGAAUUACUGGGCGUAAAGCGCGCGUAGGCGGUAAGAUAAGUCGGGUGUGAAAGCCCCGGGCUCAACCUGGGAACUGCAUUCGAUACUGUCUGACUAGAGUGUAAUAGAGGGAGGCGGAAUUCCACAUGUAGCGGUGAAAUGCGUAGAUAUGUGGAGGAACACCAAUGGCGAAGGCAGCCUCCUGGAUUAACACUGACGCUGAGGUGCGAAAGCGUGGGGAGCAAACAGGAUUAGAUACCCCAGUAGUCC